rnacentral:misc_RNA from 1 species
AAGUCGUAACAAGGUUUCCGUAGGUGAACCUGCGGAAGGAUCAUUAACACGUAUCCAACGUUAAACCCCUGUGAACUUUCAAACCCCGAUCUCGUAUUCCCAGUGAAUUUUUUCGGCACAGCAAUCCCGGUAAAUCAUGUUGAACAGUUUUGAUUCGGGACUUCUGACAAAUGCACUACGAUUGAGCGGUAGAGGGUGGCAUGGCUUCCCCUGAAUGAAAGUGUCAUUGAUUGUGUAAGGUUAACGCUUCACGAUUGCUAGAGGUCCGGCAACCAUGUCAGGUCCUUUGAGACUCCAUCGAAACCCCACUACCUAUAACAGGGCUGCGUUAACUUCGCGCCUAAAAAACCGAACAACUGUUGGCAAUGGAUAUCUUGGUUCUC